rnacentral:tRNA from 1 species
AGGCCUGUAGUUCAACGGUAGAACACGCAUCCGAUGAAUGCGUGACAGUGGUUCGACUCCACUCGGGCCUA